rnacentral:rRNA from 1 species
UACGGAGGGUGCAAGCAUUGAUCGGAAUUACUGGGCGUAAAGGGCGCGUAGGCGGCUCGAAAAGUCAGAGGUGAAAUUCCGGGGCUCAACCCCGGAACAGCAUUUGAAACUAUCGAACUAGAGUACAGUUAGGGUAAACGGAAUUCCACGUGUAGCGGUGAAAUGCGUAGAUAUGUGGAAGAACACCGGUGGUGAAGACGGUUUACUGGGCUGAAACUGACGCUGAGGCGCGAAAGCAUGGGGAGCAAACAGG